CCUACGGGAGGCAGCAGUGGGGAAUAUUGGACAAUGGGGGGAAGCCUGAUCCAGCAACGCCGCGUGAGUGAAGAAGGCUCUCGGGAUGUAAACCUCUAUCAGCGGGGAAGAGGAGAUGACGGUACCUGAUGAAUAAGCCCCGGCUAACUACGUGCCAGCAGCCGCGGUAAUACGUAGGUGGCAAGCGUUAUCCGGAAUUACUGGGUGUAAAGGGAGCGUAGCCGGAGAGGUAAGUCUGGUGUGAAAGGCGGGGGCCCAACCCCCGGACUGCACUGGAAACUAUGUCCCUGGAGUGCAGGAGAGGUGAGCGGAAUUCCUAGUGUAGCGGUGAAAUGCGUAGAUAUUAGGAGGAACACCAGUGGCGAAGGCGGCUUACUGGACUGUAACUGACGUUGAGGCGCGAAAGCGUGGGGAGCAAACAGGAUUAGAUACCCGAGUAGUC
rnacentral:rRNA from 1 species